CUUCAGCAUCAAGAGUUGGGCCGACGCCCAGCGCCAACCUGCUUCCCGAGCAAGGUGGCUUUCUUCCUUCGGAAGAAGAUGUGGCCGGUCCGGCAACUAAACGGGACAAG
rnacentral:ncRNA from 17 species